rnacentral:rRNA from 1 species
UCGCGACAGUAAUCCAACUUAGUACGAGAGGAACCGUUGGUUCAGACAAUUGGUUUAUGGGGUUGGCUGAACAGCCAGUGCCCCGAAGCUACCAUCUGCAAGAUAAUGACUGAACGCCUCUAAGUCAGAAUCUAUGCUGGAAAGCGACGAUAUAUCCGCUCUCUGUGUUUACGCGUAGCGAUAGGCUUCGGCCCAACACCAAAUUUAGUCGCCUUUCGGGCACUGAGAGCGAUAAAUCCUUUGUAGACGACUUUGAUAUGGAACUGGGUAUUGUACGUGUGAGAGUAG